CAGUCCUAGUCUGGGUAGACAGUCCUAGUCUGGGUAGACAGUCCCAGUGUGGGUAGACAGUCCUAGUCUGGGUAGACAGUCCCAGUGUGGGUAGACAGUCCUAGUGUGGGUAGACAGUGCCAGUGUGGGUAGACAGUCCUAGUCUGGGUAGACAGUCCCAGUGUGGGUAGGCAGUCCCAGUGGGGUAGACAGUCCCAGUGUGGGUAGACAGUCCCAGUGUGGGUAGACAGUCCCAGUGUGGGUAGGCAGUCCCAGUGUGGGUAGACAGUCCCAGUGUGGGUAGACAGUCCCAGUGUGGGUAGGCAGUCCCAGUGUGGGUAGACAGUCCCAGUGUGGGUAGACAGUCCCAGUGUGGGUAGACAUAUUGCUGCUGUUAUUAUCCGGUGUCCUGUGUGAAUUUAAGUAUGCUCUCUCUAAUUCUCUCUUUCUUUCUCUCUCUCAGAGGACCGUAGCCCUAGGACCAUGCCUCAGGACUACCUGGCAUGAUGACUCCUUGCUGUCCCCA
ensembl:lncRNA